UGGGAACUCAUUUUCUACUCAGUCACCAACAAAUCCAUCUGAGAAUAUGGACCAUACACAUGUACCAACUGUGGGAAAAGCUUUUGUGUAAGAAGACAUUUUAUAACACUGAAUUGAACUCAAGCAUGAGAUGGAUCUGUCAUUGUAGCUCAUCUGUUUAAACCUUGAGAAGCAACUGAAUUUAUUAGCUAUCAAAAUGAUUCAUGCAAGGGGGGAGAACGGACAUAUAGAAGUGUAUUGACUAUACCAAAAAUUUCAUUCAAAAAAGCAUAUUCUAAAACACCAACUAACCUGUACUAGAGAGAGAGACUGUAUCAUUGCAGAAAACAUGGGAGAAGUUUGACAUGAGGAACCUUUGAUCACAUCACCAGAGAAUUUACGGAACAGAGCAAGAUCAUUCACAGAAUUUUAGAUAGAAAUUAGAGCUUCAAAGAGCCUUAGAUCAGUUUAAGAGAUUGGGCUUCUUGAUGUUAAAAAUAGGAAAUAAAUGGUAAAGUCCAUUAAGCGCAGUCAAAUGACAGUGGUGCCAGCAGUGAAAGCACCAACGCAUGUUAGUAGUCCAAAGACAAAAUGUAGUUCAAACUUCCACAGUUUAGAGUAAUUUACAGCACAUGAGAUGCAGGCUUCAUUUUUGAGCUCCUGGAAGAGAAAACAGAAAUGGGUAAUGUUCUCCUUUCUGUCGCUUCUGUGCAACAUGAAUGACGAGAGGCAAAAUUUAUGUGGGAUUAUUCUUCUCUCUAAACCAAAAGCAGCACUGGCUCCAAAUUCAGAGGAAACGUCAGCAGAUGGAGAUAGGGGGAAAAAAACAGUGGAGUCAUCUGCUUAAAAACAUAAUCAAACACAGAUCCUGACAACAUACUUCAGAUUUAUGCCUACCACUAAUAAAAUAUGAAACAUUGUUGCUAGUGUGAUGACUACUUGAACAGGACUUUUCCAAUCCCUUCUUUACCCAAGGAGAGGACUGUUGCAGAGCCAUUUACUGUGUCUCUAAACAGAAAGAAUAUACAUACAACCCAUAAACAUGAUGAUGUCUUG
rnacentral:lncRNA from 1 species